CCUACGGGGGCUGCAGUGGGGGAUAUUGCACAAUGGGGGAAACCCUGAUGCAGCGACGCCGCGUGGGUGAAGAAGCGCCUCGGCGCGUAAAGCCCUGUCAGCAGGGAAGAAAAUGCCGGUACCUGAAGAAGAAGCCCCGGCUAACUACGUGCCAGCAGCCGCGGGAAUACGGAGGGGGCAAGCGUUAUCCGGAUUUACUGGGUGUAAAGGGGGCGCAGACGGCGAUGCAAGCCAGGAGUGAAAGCCCGGGGCCGAACCCCGGGAGUGCUCUUGGAACUGCGUGGCUAGAGUGCAGGAGGGGCAGGCGGAAUGCGUGGUGUAGCGGUGAAAUGCGUAGAUAUCAGGAGGAACACCGGUGGCGAAGGCGGCCUGCUGGACUGCAACUGACGUUGAGGCCCGAAAGCGUGGGGAGCAAACAGGAUUAGAUACCCUGGUAGUC
rnacentral:rRNA from 1 species